rnacentral:rRNA from 1 species
GGUGACCGGAUGCCGAUCUCGAAAACCUGUCCCAGUUCGGACUGGAGUCUGCAACCCGACUCCACGAAGUUGGAUUCGCUAGUAAUCGCGCAUCAGCCAUGGCGCGGUGAAUACGUUCCCGGGCCUUGUACACACCGCCCGUCAAGCCAUGGGAGCCGGGGGGCGCCUGAAGUCCGGGACCGCGAGGACCGGCCUAGGGCGAAACUGGUGACUGGGGCUAAGUCGUAACAAGGUACC